UACGUAGGGUGCGAGCGUUGUCCGGAAUUAUUGGGCGUAAAGAGCUCGUAGGCGGUGUGUCACGUCGUUCGUGAAAACCUGCAGCUUAACUGUGGGCGUGCGGUCGAUACGGGCAUCACUGGAGUUCGGCAGGGGAGACUGGAAUUCCUGGUGUAGCGGUGAAAUGCGCAGAUAUCAGGAGGAACACCGGUGGCGAAGGCGGUUCUCUGGGCCUGACCUGACGCUGGAGGAGCGAAAGCGUGGGGAGCGAACAGG
rnacentral:rRNA from 1 species